rnacentral:lncRNA from 1 species
UAUCUUUUCUCCUAUUCUCUGCAUCUAGACCAUGAUCUAAGAUUAACUUCUAUGUGACACUUUAAUGUCCUCCUUAAGAUUGCCCUUGCCUGGUAUCCAGUCUGGUUACAGGUCUCCAUUGCUUGUUUUGCCCACAAACCAUCAACCAACCCCAGGACAGCCCUUCUGGACUAAGCCCUCCAGCCUCCUGUGCGCUGGCAUUAUAAGCUCCUGAAGACCACACCAGUGAGGGUUUGAG